ensembl:lncRNA
AUGAAAGACAGAUGUGUGGAAGAUUCUGAUCCGUACGAUAGUACAUCAGCUAGUGAAGAAGAGUAUGUGCCAGAAUCCGCAGCUGAAGAAGAGGACAGUGAUGCUAGCCUUUCUCUUAAACAAACACCCCGCAAGUCUCUUGAUUGGUUACCAAGUGAAUGUAGUCCAAUUUUAUGCGAUAGUUCAACAACCAAUGUGGACAUCAACAGUACAGACUGUCAAAUCGCAGAAGAGCAACCCUCCUCAAGUCAGGGACCCAAUGACGUUGUGGUUGUUGAUGCAUUCGACAAGAAUGAUGGCAAGAGGGUCUACAACAAGAGGCAACAUUGUAUGUAUUGCAGCAAGCCCUACGCCAAAAUUUCAAGGCACCUUGAAAGUGCACACAGUAACCAAAUGGAUGUGGCAAAAGCCCUUAGUUUUCCGAAGGGAUCUAAGGAAAGAAAAAUUCAACUAGAUUAUCUUCGUAAAAAAGGCAACUAUGCUCAUAAUGCCACUGUACUAGAGACGGGCAAGGGGCAACUAGUCCCAUGUAAACGACCACCAAAGCAAGCCCAGGGAGUAGAUUUUAUGCACUGUGCAUUCUGCCAAGGGCUGUUCUCUCGAAAGACUCUGUGGCGACGCAUUCGGAUUUGCAAACUAAAGCCUGCAACACACACCCCCAAACCUGGUCAAAACCGCGUUCAGGCUUUAUGUACGUACACUGGGCCGGUGCCUAAACAUAUGAGCAAGCGACUGUGGAAAGUUGUGUGUAUGAUGAAUCCAGAUUCGGUCACCGCCAUAGUAAAAAGUGACAAGGUCAUUAUGGAGGUUGGGCAGCACAUGCUCAGUAAGGGUGGAAUGACGGCAAAAAACGAACAGUGUGUCCGAGAAAAAAUGCGUGAACUGGGACGACUGGUUGGCAAUGCCAGGAAAGUUACGCAGUUAAAUAAACUGGAGGAUUUCAUCAACCCUAAAAAUUACCUUCAGAUGAUCAAAGCUGUCAAAAUGACCUGUGGCUAUGAUAGUGAAACCAACACAUUUGCCAUUCCAUCACUGGCAACCAAACUGGGAAAUGCUUUAGUAAAAGUCAGCAAGCUCUUGAAAGCUCAGGGUCUAAUAUCCAAUAACCAAGAGCUUGUGAAGCAUGCUACUGAAUUCCAAGACGUGCACAAUGAGAAAUGGAAUGCACUCAUUUCGGCAACAGCACUGAGGAACCUCGCUGAAGCAAAAUGGAAUGCACCCACUCUAAUGCCAUUCACAGAGGAUGUUCAAAAACUGCACCAGUUUCUUGAUAAAAUGCAAGGGGUGUACAGCAGUGCACUGUCAGAGAGCCCUUCUCCAAAGACCUGGACAGACCUUGCAAAGGUAUGUUUGACGCAGACCAUCCUGUUCAACAGACGCAGGGAAGGAGAGGUUGCAAGCAUGCCCUUGGAUGUAUUUUUGACAAGGGACAGAACUGAUCCCCAUCAGGAUUUGGACUGGGCCUUGUCUGAGGUUGAAAAAAAGCUUUGCAGACAUUUCACACGAAUUGUCACCAGAGGAAAACGAGGUAGACCGGUGCCAAUUCUGCUAACCCCCAAAAUGCUCUGUGCACUGGAGCUUCUUGUUGAUCAGAGAAUUGCUUGCGGGGUCCUUAAGGGCAACAUUUAUAUGUUUGCAAGACCGGAAGCGAUGUCACACUUGCGUGGCUCAGAUUGCAUGCGUGUUAUGGCAGCAGCAUGUGAGGCAAAGUGCCCGAAGGCGCUGACUUCAACUAAACUACGGAAGCAUGCUGCAACACUUUCUACAGUCCUAAACCUGACCGAUACCGAGAUGGACCAACUGGCAAACUUUCUUGGUCAUGAUAUUCGGAUCCAUCGUGAGUUCUAUAGACUCCCAGACAAGACACUGCAACUUGCAAAGAUCAGUAAAGUCCUGAUGGCUCUUGAGCAAGGAAGUUUGUCGGAUUUCCAUGGAAAGAACCUCGAUGAAAUUGAAAUAGAUCCAGAUGGUAUGUUUGAUUUUAUAUUUGCCUUUUGUCGUAUGUUUUCAUUAUUGGUUUGGACAUAUUUAUUAGCUUGUUCUGUUUCCUACAGAAGAAGUUCUGGGUAG